rnacentral:rRNA from 1 species
UACGGGGGGUGCGAGCGUUGUCCGGAAUCACUGGGCGUAAAGGGCGCGUAGGUGGUUUGAUAAGGGUGUGGUGAAAGUCCGGAGCUCAACUCCGGAUCUGCCGUGCCGACUGUCAAACUCGAGGGCUGUAGAGGCAGACGGAAUUCCGGGUGUAGCGGUGGAAUGCGUAGAGAUCCGGAGGAACACCGACGGCGAAGGCAGCGCCCUGGCCGCCAUCUGACGCUCAGGCACGAAAGCUGGGGGAGCGAACAGG